CGUUCCCGUUCCCGUUCCCCCAAUCAUCCAACUUUUGUUUCUCAUCCAUUUUCCUUCAUUUUCUCGCUUCCUUUUCUUCACUCCGUCAAAAUCCACCAAAUAUUCUCCUCUAAUUCCCCCAACAAACUUCAUCUUUCUCCAAAAACUCAGAUCCGAAGAUCUCAAUCUCAGGAAUGUGUGUUCUCACCUUUUCAUUAAGGAUGCUGUUUGUCGUUUGUUCUGCGUGAUUUCUCCUUUUAAUGGAAUUUCCGAUCAUUAACAUCAUCUGCCUGGAAGGUGUGGAUCAGAGAUUCAGACGCAGUGUUUGAUGAUUUUGAAUUAAGAAUCGACGCUGUACUUGUAUUGGGAAAGGAAUUGUCUGACGAGGAAGCAUAUUUUUUUUUGUAUGGUGGACUAAAUUUUGAGUUGAUUGAUAUAUAAAGGGCGAGCUUGGUGGAUUAGUUAAUUAGGUCAUGGAGCAUAUUAUAGGUGGGAAGUUUAAGCUUGGAAGGAAGAUCGGUAGCGGAUCAUUUGGGGAACUUUAUUUGGGUACAAAUGUACAGACAGGAGAGGAAGUGGCUGUGAAGCUGGAAUCUGCAAAGACCAAGCACCCUCAGCUUCACUAUGAGUCAAAACUAUACAUGCUUCUUCAAGGAGGAACCGGUAUCCCCCAUCUCAAAUGGUUUGGAGUUGAAGGUGAUUACAAUGUCAUGGUUAUUGAUCUCCUUGGUCCAAGCCUAGAAGAUUUGUUCAACUACUGCAAUCGGAAACUCUCCUUGAAGUCAGUUUUGAUGCUGGCAGAUCAGUUGAUAAACAGAGUUGAAUAUAUGCAUUCAAGGGGUUUCCUUCAUCGUGACAUAAAGCCGGACAAUUUUCUAAUGGGUUUGGGGCGAAAGGCUAAUCAGGUGUACAUCAUUGACUAUGGUCUUGCAAAGAAGUAUAGAGAUCUUCAGACACACAAGCAUAUACCAUACAGAGAAAAUAAGAAUCUCACCGGAACUGCUCGCUAUGCAAGUGUCAAUACUCAUCUUGGAGUUGAGCAAAGCAGGAGGGAUGAUUUAGAAUCACUGGGCUAUGUGCUGAUGUAUUUUCUUAGGGGAAGCCUUCCUUGGCAAGGACUGAAGGCAGGGACUAAAAAGCAAAAAUAUGAUAAGAUCAGUGAAAAGAAGAUGCUUACUCCGGUAGAGGUCCUCUGCAAGUCAUAUCCAUCAGAAUUUACAUCCUACUUUCACUAUUGUCGGUCACUGAGGUUUGAAGAUAAACCUGAUUAUUCAUAUCUGAAGAGAUUAUUCCGAGACCUUUUCAUCCGUGAAGGAUAUCAAUUUGACUAUGUAUUUGACUGGACUAUACUCAAAUAUCCACAGAUUGGCUCCAGUUCAAAAGCACGACCCAGUGGAAAACCAGGUCACACCCCAGGACCAUCCGCUGAAAGAGGGGAAAAGCAUCCAGGUCCGUUCCUUUACUCAGGAAGGAUAGGUGGGACAAGAAAUCCGAGAUAGAUACCCUGGUGGAGCAGAGGCAUUCGGAAGAAGGAACGCCAGUGGGCAUUUGCAUGGUGAUCAUUCCAGACACAGAUCUGAUGAUGUACCAUCUUCCAAGGAUGUGCAACCUGAUUCAGAAAGGGGCCGCAGUAGUUAUAGGAAUGGAAGCAUUUCAAAGAGGCCUGUUCUAUCAAGCAGUCGGCCAAGCUCCUCUGGGGAGCCAAGUGAAAUCCGAUCAAGUCGCCUGGUGUCAGCCAGUAGUCGUCUAUCUGCAGGCCAAAGGGUUCAACCUGGUUUUGAGUCCAAAACAACAACUUUUACCCGUUCUUCAACCACAAAAGGUGGUCGUGAUGAUGCACUCCGGAGCUUUGAGCUGUUGUCUAUUGGAACUGGCAAGAGGAAAUGAAAAAGGAUACAGAUCAAUGUGGGUAACUAGUGACCGUGUGAAUGGUCAACACAACACCCUAUGUAUCUUCUGUAAAAUGCCUCAGCUCUAUGGUAUUUUAUAUCAAUUGAACAUGUAUAUGUGUAUCUCGAUCAUUAGUUGGCUCGGUUCGUCCACACUAUAAAAUUUAAUGAAAUCUCCAAAAAACAUUGGUUGGAAGCGAAACCUCCAUGAAUUUUCUUGGUUACAAUGGUGCCUGUUUCGUUCUAGGAAUUUGUUAAUACAUUUGAGACAGUUGUAAUAUACCUUCCAGGUAAAAUCUUUUUCAGGUGAAGGGACCCUGCUGAAACUCAAAGAUGCUUUUUUCUGUCCUCU